rnacentral:rRNA from 1 species
UUUUUGUUUGGAGAGUUUGAUCCUGGCUCAGGACGAACGCUGGCGGCGUGCUUAACACAUGCAAGUCGAACGGAAAGGCCCUUCGGGGUACUCGAGUGGCGAACGGGUGAGUAACACGUGGGCAAUCUGCCCUGCACACCGGGAUAAGCCUGGGAAACUGGGUCUAAUACCGGAUAGGACCACUUGGCGCAUGCCUUGUGGUGGAAAGCUUUUGCGGUGUGGGAUGGGCCCGCGGCCUAUCAGCUUGUUGGUGGGGUGACGGCCUACCAAGGCGACGACGGGUAGCCGGCCUGAGAGGGUGUCCGGCCACACUGGGACUGAGAUACGGCCCAGACUCCUACGGGAGGCAGCAGUGGGGAAUAUUGCACAAUGGGCGCAAGCCUGAUGCAGCGACGCCGCGUGGGGGAUGACGGCCUUCGGGUUGUAAACCUCUUUCACCAUCGACGAAGGUCCGGGUUUUCUCGGAUUGACGGUAGGUGGAGAAGAAGCACCGGCCAACUACGUGCCAGCAGCCGCGGUAAUACGUAGGGUGCGAGCGUUGUCCGGAAUUACUGGGCGUAAAGAGCUCGUAGGUGGUUUGUCGCGUUGUUCGUGAAAUCUCACGGCUUAACUGUGAGCGUGCGGGCGAUACGGGCAGACUAGAGUACUGCAGGGGAGACUGGAAUUCCUGGUGUAGCGGUGGAAUGCGCAGAUAUCAGGAGGAACACCGGUGGCGAAGGCGGGUCUCUGGGCAGUAACUGACGCUGAGGAGCGAAAGCGUGGGGAGCGAACAGGAUUAGAUACCCUGGUAGUCCACGCCGUAAACGGUGGGUACUAGGUGUGGGUUUCCUUCCUUGGGAUCCGUGCCGUAGCUAACGCAUUAAGUACCCCGCCUGGGGAGUACGGCCGCAAGGCUAAAACUCAAAGGAAUUGACGGGGGCCCGCACAAGCGGCGGAGCAUGUGGAUUAAUUCGAUGCAACGCGAAGAACCUUACCUGGGUUUGACAUGCACAGGACGCGUCUAGAGAUAGGCGUUCCCUUGUGGCCUGUGUGCAGGUGGUGCAUGGCUGUCGUCAGCUCGUGUCGUGAGAUGUUGGGUUAAGUCCCGCAACGAGCGCAACCCUUGUCUCAUGUUGCCAGCGGGUAAUGCCGGGGACUCGUGAGAGACUGCCGGGGUCAACUCGGAGGAAGGUGGGGAUGACGUCAAGUCAUCAUGCCCCUUAUGUCCAGGGCUUCACACAUGCUACAAUGGCCGGUACAAAGGGCUGCGAUGCCGCGAGGUUAAGCGAAUCCUUUUAAAGCCGGUCUCAGUUCGGAUCGGGGUCUGCAACUCGACCCCGUGAAGUCGGAGUCGCUAGUAAUCGCAGAUCAGCAACGCUGCGGUGAAUACGUUCCCGGGCCUUGUACACACCGCCCGUCACGUCAUGAAAGUCGGUAACACCCGAAGCCAGUGGCCUAACCCUCGGGAGGGAGCUGUCGAAGGUGGGAUCGGCGAUUGGGACGAAGUCGUAACAAGGUAGCCGUACCGGAAGGUGCGGCUGGAUCACCUCCUUUCUAAGGAG